rnacentral:RNase_P_RNA from 1 species
UGGGCUGGCCGGGCGACCGCGUCGCCGUGCUCGCGAGAGUGCGGUGCCGAGGAAGGUCCGGGCUCCACAGGGCGAGGUGGUGGGUAACGCCCACCCGGGGAAACCCGCGGGACAGUGCCACAGAGAACAGACCGCCUCCCGCCUGACGGCUGUGCCUGACGACGGGAGGUAAGGGUGAAACGGUGGUGUAAGAGACCACCAGCGACCGGGGCGACCCGGCCGGCUCGGUAAACCCCACCUGGAGCAAGGUCAAGAAGUCCGGAGCCUUCGGGCCCCGGACGCGCGCACGACCGAGGGCGGCCCGCCCGAGUGCGCGGGUAGACCGCUGGAGGCGGCCGGCAACGGCCGUCGUAGAUGGAUGGUCGCCACGCUUCGGCGCACAGAACCCGGCCUACAGGCCAGCCCAUCCG